GAUGAAUGCUGGCAGCGUGCUUAACACAUGCAAGUCGAGCGGCAGCGCGGUCUUCGGACUGGCGGCGAGCGGCGGACGGCUGAGUAACGCGUGGGAACGUGCCCCAAAGUGAGGAAUAACUGCCCGAAAGGGUGGCUAAUGCCGCAUAUGGUCUUCGGAUUAAAGGAUUUAUCCGCUUUGGGAGCGGCCUGCGUAUGAUUAGGUAGUUGGUGAGGUAAUGGCUCACCAAGCCGACGAUCAUUAGCUGGUCUGAGAGGAUGACCAGCCAGACUGGAACUGAGACACGGUCCAGACUCCUACGGGAGGCAGCAGUGAGGAAUCUUCCACAAUGGGCGAAAGCCUGAUGGAGCAACGCCGCGUGCAGGAUGAAGGCCUUCGGGUUGUAAACUGCUUUUAUAAGUGAAGAAUAUGACGGUACCCAAAGAAUAAGCACCGGCUAACUUCGUGCCAGCCGCCGCAGUAA
rnacentral:rRNA from 1 species